CCUACGGGUGGCAGCAGUGGGGAAUAUUGGACAAUGGGGGCAACCCUGAUCCAGCCAUGCCGCGUGUGUGAAGAAGGCCCUCGGGUUGUAAAGCACUUUCAGUGAGGAAGAACGCCUGGUGGUUAAUACCCAUCAGGAAAGACAUCACUCACAGAAGAAGCACCGGCUAACUCCGUGCCAGCAGCCGCGGUAAUACGGCGGGUGCGAGCGUUAAUCGGAAUUACUGGGCGUAAAGCGCGCGUAGGUGGCUUGAUAAGCCGGUUGUGAAAGCCCCGGGCUCAACCUGGGAACGGCAUCCGGAACUGUCAAGCUAGAGUGCAGGAGAGGAAGGUAGAAUUCCCGGUGUAGCGGUGAAAUGCGUAGAGAUCGGGAGGAAUACCAGUGGCGAAGGCGGCCUUCUGGACUGACACUGACACUGAGGUGCGAAAGCGUGGGUAGCAAACAGGAUUAGAUACCCUGGUAGUC
rnacentral:rRNA from 1 species